UUAAUUGAAGAGUUUGAUCAUGGCUCAGAUUGAACGCUGGCGGCAGGCUUAACACAUGCAAGUCGAGCGGUAGCACAGGGGAGCUUGCUCCCUGGGUGACGAGCGGCGGACGGGUGAGUAAUGUCUGGGAAACUGCCUGAUGGAGGGGGAUAACUACUGGAAACGGUAGCUAAUACCGCAUAACGUCGCAAGACCAAAGAGGGGGACCUUCGGGCCUCUUGCCAUCAGAUGUGCCCAGAUGGGAUUAGCUAGUAGGUGGGGUAAUGGCUCACCUAGGCGACGAUCCCUAGCUGGUCUGAGAGGAUGACCAGCCACACUGGAACUGAGACACGGUCCAGACUCCUACGGGAGGCAGCAGUGGGGAAUAUUGCACAAUGGGCGCAAGCCUGAUGCAGCCAUGCCGCGUGUGUGAAGAAGGCCUUCGGGUUGUAAAGCACUUUCAGCGAGGAGGAAGGUGGUGAGCUUAAUACGCUCAUCAAUUGACGUUACUCGCAGAAG
rnacentral:rRNA from 1 species